CUUGCUGUGAUGAAUCAUCAAAAUAAAGUCAGUUUCAAUUUUUUUAAAGCCUCCAUUGUUUCCAUUUGGUUUCCAGCAUCUUCCACGAUCUGAGGCCCAGUAUCUACGACAAAAUAUGGAAUAUAGACUUAAUAUUACUGAAAUAACUCCGGAAACAAGAGAGUGGACAUGCAAAGUACAGCUAAUUGAAAAAGCUAGAGCAAGACAAAGUAAAGAUGGGCGAAUACGAUUUCAAGUCAUGAUUGCGCAAGAUGAGACGAUAAUCAAGAACUGAUAAUUAUCAAAUAUGUGUUGAAGGGAGUACUUUGGAAGAUGAAGUUUGUUCGGAAGAAUAAGUUGCAGUUGUUUUGUAUGGAGAUGACAUAAGAAAAUAUGAAAAGAAGUUCACUCCCUUCAACACAAGUUAGACCACCUCUGCCCUAUGGAAUUCCUAUCAAUAGGUUUGAAUGGGUUCUAGAUAGAUUUACUGUUAUUGAACAAGUAAAGGGAGACAAUGUAGAGGAUCCACCAUUGUCUUCUCCAACAAGAUUAAACACAGUAUCUUUAUCGAACCUGGACCAAGAGCCACGUCACAUGGAAUUCGGUAAGGAGUACUUCACUAUGUAUUUUAAAGUAUACUUAUAUGUCGUUUCAUGAAAUAAUAUUCACAACAUCCCUACAAAUAGACAUACUUGCUGUUGUCGUGAGUUGUGGUGCAAUAAAGAUUGCUGGUGUCCAUGGAAACAAAUGUCGACAAAUCAUUGUCAUGGAUACAAAGUUGAUUCAAUUCUUGGUUUUUGAGUAACUGAAUAGAUUUUGGGAUAAAGAAGAAGAAGAAGAAGAAGAAGAAGAAGAAGAAGAAGAAGAAGAAGAAGAAGAAGAAGAAGACGAAGAAUUUAAAGAAAGUGGAAAAAAAUCUUACCUUUUUUGUGCUUUCAGAAGUUUAAUAGGAGCAAGGUAAAGAUAGGUAACUUGAUCUGUCACAACCAAAAAAGUAUAGUAAGUCAUAAUAUGAAUGUCACUAGGCUGAAGUCAGGGGUGACGCUACAAGUUCGACAUAUUCCGGUAAUGAUAAUCGCAAAUGUGCUGAUUCAGAGAAAGAAGUCAGUAUUAUUACUGUACCUGGAGAAAGUAGGCCACAUAUGAUAUCUCAAAAUGAAAAUGAGGAUGAUGAGAUCUUAUCAUUGCACGGUGAUCAAAUUCUUGAUAGUUCAUGUUCCCUACCAGUGGUGAGUGAUUCCAGUAGUUUAUGUGUUGAUAAUUUAUAAGUUUUGAUGUAGCAUCUGAUAUAGACGAUCAGAAUUUGGUUGAUGUCAAACUUAUAGCUAACAAGGGUGGAGAUCUGGUAGAAAAGUCUCUGGUCAAAGUUGAUGAGCAGAUUACGGAUGGCUCCAGCUCAAAAUCAUCUGCUGAAGUUGUGGUUCAGCCACCCUCAGCAGUUAGCCACAGUAUUUUUGAAGUGAAUUAUAUACCCCUUUAGGGAUGGAUUUACAUCUGUGUGUAGAAAGAGACCGAAAAUGGAAGAUGCGUUUGCAACUGUUCCUAGGUUCUUAGCAUGUUACAGUAGGUUAACUAAUACAGGACUGCAGUAGUUUGUAUGAUAGGCAUCUAUAAACGGUUUUUAAAGUUGAAAAGCUCAGAUAUAGUUUAAAGUUAUAUAGACGUUGGUUAGAUUAUAAUCUUGUUGACUUCUUAGCCUAUACCCAUCCUUAUGUUUGUUGCAUAACAAAGGAACAACAAUAUAUUUUUUUUAAUUCUGUCAUUCUUGCAACUGUGAUCUAUAAAUACGGUUUUCCGUGUGAUAUAACUUGGCAUCUCCGCUUCUUCU